UACGGGGGGGGCAAGCGUUGUUCGGAAUUACUGGGCGUAAAGGGCGCGUAGGCGGUCAGACCAAGUCGAGUGUGAAAUUCCAGGGCUUAACUCUGGCGCGCUCGCUCGAUACUGGUCGGCUAGAGUGUGGAAGAGGAUGCUGGAAUUCCUGGUGUAGCGGUGAAAUGCGCAGAUAUCAGGAGGAACACCGGUGGCGAAGGCGGGUCUCUGGACAGUUCCUGACACUGAGACACGAAGGCCAGGGGAGCAAACGGG
rnacentral:rRNA from 1 species